rnacentral:rRNA from 1 species
CCCGGUGAUUUUUAACGGCCGCAGUUAAGAGCUGUGCUAAGGUAGCGUAAUAAGUUGUCCUUUAAAUGGGGAAAGGAAUGAAUGGUUUGACGUGGGAGAUUCUGUCUCUUUAAGAAACAUUGAAUUUUUCUUUUCAGUGAAAAGCCUGAAAUUUUAUUAAAAGACGAGAAGACCCUAUCGAGCUUAAAUAAAUAUUAAAAAUCUUUAAUACUAAAAUUUGGUUGGGGCAACCUAGGAGCAAAAAUAGACUCCUUUAAGCUAUAAAGAUCCGAAUAUUUCGAAAAAAGAAAAAGCUACCGUAGGGAUAACAGCGUUAUCUUUUCUAAGAGAACAAAUUGAAGAAAGG